rnacentral:rRNA from 1 species
UACGGGGGGGGCAAGCGUUGUUCGGAAUUACUGGGCGUAAAGGGCUCGCAGGCGGCCAACUAAGUCAGACGUGAAAUCCCUCGGCUUAACCGGGGAACUGCGUCUGAUACUGGAUGGCUAGAGGUUGGGAGAGGGAUGCGGAAUUCCAGGUGUAGCGGUGAAAUGCGUAGAUAUCAGGAGGAACACCGGUGGCGAAGGCGGAUCUCUGGGCCAUUACUGACGCUGAGGCGCGACAGCGUGGGGAGCAAACAGG